AGGCGACCGACGCUGAAAGGGCCGCGGAGUCGCGUGUCAGGGCUGGAGGGAGAUCUUGAGGUCCUCCCAGUGACUGACCUGGCUCAUUCUCCGAAAGUGGUUGACAGGCCACUACGAGAGCUCUUGAGAGAAGCUUUGUGACAUGAAAUUCAUCAAAUGAAGCAAGAUUCAUUUUUAAAGAAUAAUACAAAGCUCCAGAGUAAUAUGCUUAAUCCAAAUGUUUAAAUAGAAUUUAAAACCACAUUUUAAGUAAAUUUAAAAUUAAUGAAAUAUCAAUAGUUUGCCUUAACAAGGACUUGCUUGAACCAUAUUCUCCUUUUAAAAUCACACACACAGAAUCAGUGUACAUUUAGAGAAAUUUCCCCAGCUGAAUAACAUUUUUGACAUGAAUUCAUUCAAAAGACACCAACCAUUAUGAAUAUUUUAGGCCAUGAUAAGCUGUAACCACCUCCGGCUUAUGGUGGUUAGGAUGUUGCAGCUUAAUGUUGACAUCUGGCAUGAAAAGCUUAUGGUCUGAGUCAUGUUUCUUUUUUAUGUAAUUCUGGCUUGGGAAUCCGAUACAGAGCAGCUGAGAAAUAAAUUAUGUUGCUGAGGCUGAAGAUGAUGCACAGAAGUAUGGCUCCAGCUAUCUGAGAGAAAGAGAAGGGCUUGGAGGUGGCCAGGAGCCAUUCCUUCCUCAGAGUCUUGUCCAGAAGUAUGGCUUCCAUCUGCAUGUGCGUGGCCAGGAUCACACACACGUGAAACAGCUGGUGACUGUGACCUAUGGCAAACACAAAAGGCCGUCAAGAUCAGCAAUGAAAAGGAAUGAGUACUGAUACAUGCUAUGGCAUUCAUGCUAAAAAUGAUGCUAAGUGAAAGAAACCAGACAGGAGACCACAUAUUAUAUAAAAUCUCCAGAAUAUGCAAAUCCAUAAAGACAGAGAGUAGAUUAGAGGCUGCCUCAAGCAGGGGGUGAGAAUAGGUAUUAACAGUGCAUGGGUCUGAUGGAGGGGAUGAAAAUGUUCUAAAACUGAUGUAUGGUGAAUUUACUGAAAAUAUCAUUAAAUUGUAUACUUGA
ensembl:lncRNA KIF23-AS1 KIF23 and PAQR5 antisense RNA 1